rnacentral:rRNA from 1 species
CCUACGGGAGGCAGCAGUAGGGAAUAUUGCUCAAUGGGGGAAACCCUGAAGCAGCAACGCCGCGUGGAGGCUGCAGGUUUUCGGAUUGUAAACUCCUUUUGUUAGAGAAGAUAAUGACGGUAUCUAACGAAUAAGCACCGGCUAACUCCGUGCCAGCAGCCGCGGUAAUACGGAGGGUGCAAGCGUUACUCGGAAUCACUGGGCGUAAGGAGCGCGGAGGCGGGAUAGCAAGUCAGAUGUGAAAUCCUAUGGCUUAACCAUAGAACUGCAUUUGGAACUGUUAUUCUAGAGUAUGGGAGAGGUAGGUGGAAUUCUUGGUGUAGGGGUAAAAUCCGUAGAGAUCAAGAGGAAUACUCAUUGCGAAGGCGACCUGCUAGAACAUAACUGACGCUGAUGCGCGAAAGCGUGGGGAGCAAACAGGAUUAGAUACCCGAGUAGUC